UACGGGGGGGGCAAGCGUUGUUCGGAAUUACUGGGCGUAAAGGCUCGUAGGUGGCCAACUAAGUCAGACGUGAAAUCCCUCAGCUUAACUGGGGAACUGCGUCUGAUACUGGAUGGCUUGAGUUUGGGAGAGGGAUGCGGAAUUCCAGGUGGUAGCGGUGAAAUGCGUAGAUAUCUGGAGGAACACCGGUGGCGAAGGCGGCAUCCUGGACCAACACUGACACUGAUGAGCGAAAGCCAGGGGAGCAAACGGG
rnacentral:rRNA from 1 species